GGGGGUGUAUCUCAGUGGGAGAGCUCUUGCUUAGCAUGCAUGAGGCCCUGGGUUCAAGCCCCAGUACCACCA